rnacentral:rRNA from 1 species
ACGGCUCAGUAACACGUAGUCAACCUGCCCUGGAGACAUGUACAACCCCGGGAAACUGGGAUUAAUUCGUGAUAGGUCAUGUCAUCUGGAAGGAGAGAUGGCUUAAAGGGGUACACAGGCUUCUUCUGUGAAUCCGCUCCAGGAUGGGACUGCGUCCGAUCAGGCUGUUGGCGGGGUAAUGGCCCACCAAACCUGUAACCGGUACGGGCUUUGAGAGAAGUAGCCCGGAGAUGGACACUGAGAGAAGGGUCCAGGUCCUACGGGGCGCAGCAGGCGCGAAACCUUCGCAAUGCGCGAAAGCGUGACGAGGUUAAUCCGAGUGGCCCCCGCUGAGGGGGUCUUUUGUCAGCUGUAAAUAGGCAGGCGAAUAAGGGGAGGGCAAGCCUGGUGUCCCCCGCCGCGGUAAUACCAGCUCCUCGAGUGGUCGGGGCGAUUAUUGGGCCUAAAGCAUCCGUAGCCGGUUCCGUAGGUCCUCUGUUAAAUCCAACCGCUUAACGGUUGACCUGCAGAGGAUACCGCGGGACUAGGAGGCGGGAGAGGCGGACGGUACUCCGCCGUGA